rnacentral:rRNA from 1 species
UACAGAGGGGGCAAGCGUUGUUCGGAAUUACUGGGCGUAAAGGGCGCGUAGGCGGCCACCGCAAGUCAGUUGUGAAAUCUCUGGGCUUAACCCAGAAAGGUCAACUGAUACUGCGGGGCUAGAGUGCAGAAGGGGCAACUGGAAUUCUCGGUGUAGCGGUGAAAUGCGUAGAUAUCGAGAGGAACACCUGCGGCGAAGGCGGGUUGCUGGGCUGACACUGACGCUGAUGCGCGAAAGCUAGGGGAGCGAACGGG